UUAACUCAAAAUUUGUAUGGAGUUGGAACGUUUGCCUAUGUUUGCCGCUAGGAGCGCUGUUCCAACUCCAUACAAAUUUUGAGUU
rnacentral:pre_miRNA from 1 species